AAUUUCUAAAUUUUGACUGAAUUAAUGUACCUAGCACACUUGGAUAUGAAUUUAGUGGUUGAUAUUUGAGAUUUCAAAUUUGAAGGCUAUUUUUUUAUACUUUUUUAGUUGAGUUUAUUUUUUAAAAAAAUAAAGAAGCGGGUAAUGUGCUUCAUUUUCUUUUUUUUUUAAACAAAUCUCUAAAUUUGAUGUAGUAUGAAUUCAUGAUCAGAGUUUUACGUUAUUUG
rnacentral:lncRNA from 1 species